UACGUCCCUGCCCUUUGUACACACCGCCCGUCGCUACUACCGAUUGAAUGGCUCAGUGAGGCCUCCGGACUGGCUCGAAGAGGUUGGCAACGACCACUUCGAGCCGGAAAGUUCGUCAAACUCGGUCAUUUAGAGGAAGUAAAAGUGGUAACAAGGUUUCCGUAGGUGAACCUGCGGAAGGAUCAUUAC
rnacentral:rRNA from 1 species